rnacentral:rRNA from 1 species
UCGAGAAUCAUUCGCAAUGGGCGAAAGCCUGACGGUGCGACGUCGCGUGGAGGAUGAAGGUCUUCGGAUUGUAAACUCCUGUCAUGAGGGAUAAAUGGCCAGGGCACGAAUAGUGCCUUGGAAUGAUAGUACCUCAGGAGGAAGAGACGGCUAACUCUGUGCCAGCAGCCGCGGUAAUACAGAGGUCUCGAGCGUUGUUCGGAUUUACUGGGCGUAAAGGGAGCGUAGGCGGUUCGGUGUGUUGAAUGUGAAAUCCCACAACUCAACUGUGGAAUGGCAUUCAAAACUACCGGGCUAGAGUACUGGAGAGGAGAGCGGAAUUCUUGGUGUAGCGGUGAAAUGCGUAGAUAUCAAGAGGAACACCGGUGGCGAAGGCGGCUCUCUGGACAGAUACUGACGCUGAGGCUCUAAAGUUAGGGGAGCAAACA